AGAGUUUGAUCCUGGCUCAGAACGAACGCUGGCGGCAGGCCUAACACAUGCAAGUCGAGCGGGCAUCCUUCGGGAUGUUAGCGGCGGACGGGUGAGUAACGCGUGGGAACGUGCCCUUUGCUACGGAAUAGCCUCGGGAAACUGAGAGUAAUACCGUAUGUGCCCUUCGGGGGAAAGAUUUAUCGGCAAAGGAUCGGCCCGCGUUGGAUUAGGUAGUUGGUGGGGUAAUGGCCUACCAAGCCGACGAUCCAUAGCUGGUUUGAGAGGAUGAUCAGCCACACUGGGACUGAGACACGGCCCAGACUCCUACGGGAGGCAGCAGUGGGGAAUCUUAGACAAUGGGGGAAACCCUGAUCUAGCCAUGCCGCGUGAGCGAUGAAGGCCUUAGGGUUGUAAAGCUCUUUCAGUGGGGAAGAUAAUGACGGUACCCACAGAAGAAGCCCCGGCUAACUCCGUGCCAGCAGCCGCGGUAAUACGGAGGGGGCUAGCGUUGUUCGGAAUUACUGGGCGUAAAGCGCACGUAGGCGGAUUGGAAAGUCAGAGGUGAAAUCCCAGGGCUCAACCUUGGAACUGCCUUUGAAACUCCCAGUCUUGAGGUCGAGAGAGGUGAGUGGAAUUCCGAGUGUAGAGGUGAAAUUCGUAGAUAUUCGGAGGAACACCAGUGGCGAAGGCGGCUCACUGGCUCGAUACUGACGCUGAGGUGCGAAAGCGUGGGGAGCAAACAGGGAUUAGAUACCCUGGUAGUCCACGCCCUAAACGAUGAAUGCCAGACGUCGGGCAGCAUGCUGUUCGGUGUCACA
rnacentral:rRNA from 1 species